AUUGAACGCUGGCGGAAUGCUUUACACAUGCAAGUCGAACGGUAACAGGGAGCUUGCUCCGCUGACGAGUGGCGAACGGGUGAGUAAUAUAUCGGAACGUGCCCAAGAGUGGGGGAUAACGUCGCGAAAGUUACGCUAAUACCGCAUACGAUCCAAGGAUGAAAGCAGGGGACCUUCGGGCCUUGUGCUCCUGGAGCGGCCGAUAUCUGAUUAGCGAGUUGGUGAGGAAAAGGCUCACCAAGGCGACGAUCAGUAGCUGGUCUGAGCGGACGAGCAGCCACACUGGAAGUGAGACAAGGUCCAGACUCCUACGGGAGGCAGAGGUGGGGAAUUUUAGACAAGGGCGGCAACCCUGAUCCAGCAAUGCCGCGUGAGUGAAGAAGGCCUUAGGGUUGUAAAGCUCUUUUGUCAGGGAAGAAAAGUGUACGGCUAAUAUCCGUGCCUCAUGACGCUACCUGAAGAAUAAGCACCGGCUAACUACGUGCCAGCAGCCGCCGUAA
rnacentral:rRNA from 1 species